UACGUAGGGGGCAAGCGUUAUCCGGAUUUAUUGGGUUUAAAGGGAGCGUAGGUGGAUUGUUAAGUCAGUUGUGAAAGUUUGCGGCUCAACCGUAAAAUUGCAGUUGAAACUGGCAGUCUCGAGUUGGAGAGAAGUAUGCGGAAUGCGCGGUGUAGCGGUGAAAUGCAUAGAUAUCGCGCAGAACUCCGAUUGCGAAGGCAGCAUACCGGCGCUCAACUGACGCUCAUGCACGAAAGCGUGGGUAUCGAACAGG
rnacentral:rRNA from 1 species